AGAGUUUGAUUAUGGCUCAGAACGAACGCUGGCGGCGCGUUUUAAGCAUGCAAGUCGAGCGGCAAGGGUCUUCGGGCCCCUAGAGCGGCGGACGGGUGAGUAACACGUGGACAAUCUGCCCCCCGGCCGGGGAUAGCCCAGGGAAACCUGGAUUAAUACCGGAUGAGACGGGACCCGCGGAGGCGGGAUCCGGGAAAGGCGCUGCGGCGCCGCCGGGGGAUGAGUCUGCGUCCCAUUAGCUUGACGGCGGGGUAACGGCCCACCGUGGCGACGAUGGGUAGCCGGCCUGAGAGGGUGGACGGCCACAUUGGAACUGAGACACGGUCCAGACUCCUACGGGAGGCAGCAGCUAAGAAUCUUCCGCAAUGGGCGAAAGCCUGACGGAGCGACGCCGCGUGAACGAAGAAGGCCGUGAGGUUGUAAAGUUCUUUUCGGGAGGGGGAACAACCGUGGCAGGGAAUGGCCGCGGGAUGACGUGAAUCCCGGAAUAAGCCCCGGCUAACUACGUGCCAGCAGCCGCGGUAACACGUAGGGGGCGAGCGUUGUUCGGAAUCAUUGGGCGUAAAGGGCGUGCAGGCGGUCCUGCAAGUCCGGCGUGAAGGACCCCGGCCCAACCGGGGGGGCGCGCUGGAAGCUGCAGGGCUUGAGUACAGGAGGGGAUGCCGGAAUUCCAGGUGUAGGGGUGAAAUCUGUAGAUAUCUGGAGGAACACCAAUGGCGAAAGCAGGCAUCUGGCCAUGUACUGGCGCUGAGACGCGAAGGUGCGGGGAGCAAACAGGAUUAGAUACCCUGGUAGUC
rnacentral:rRNA from 1 species